ACACGAUCUCUAACUUCCCAGACUCUCCUCCUUGAUAUUUCCUUUCAAUCCCAUCCUUUCCCCGCUACGCUCCUGCCAGAUCUUCUCCCCGCGAGUAAUACGCCCCAGCCAGAUCCUCUUCUGCCGCUAUGCCCCGACUGCCGCUGCGCCCCGGCCGCCGCAGCAACCCACCUUCACAAGCCUGGGGGCAAGCCGGCACACUCGCGUUAUGGAUACAACCGACCAUCGACAGGAACUGCUCUAUGCAGAGACAUCGCUAGAUAUCCGGUGAUGUGGUUGAUGGAUCCGUGUUGUGCCUCCUGCUGUUCCCGACCUUCAACCAAGGGUGCCCUCACUCCCAGAUCCCCUGCCAUGAGUGUCACCUGCCAACCAUCUCCAACACCCGACUCCUCUCUUAAUCAGGUAAUCUUUGCAUGGACCUAUACACACUGGUUCUGAAAAUUAAAAAGAGAGAUUGGCAAAAUAAGUGGAUGAUGCAUGGCUGUGAUGAUGACACCAAGUUUCGAGAAUGGUGUCACUACUAGAUAGUUGUCUAUUAUGUUUUAGAAUGUUAUUGAUAUACACAACUUGUAUUCACCAAUUCAUUCUCCAUGUAAAGCUACAAAGUUAUUUAAUA